AAGGAUUGGGGAUCUCUCUCUCUCUCUCUCUCUCUCUCUCUCUCUCUCUCUCUCUCUCUCUUUCUCACACACAGAGAGAGAGAGAGAGAGAGAGAGAGCGAGCGAGAGAGAGAGAGCGCUCUCAAGU
rnacentral:miRNA from 1 species